rnacentral:rRNA from 1 species
GUUCUCGGCAUCUUCUUGGUGAACGUUGCUGCACUUGACUGUGUGGAGCGCUACCCAGGACUUUUACUUUGAGGAAAUUACAGUGUUUCAAGCAGGCAUAUGCCUUGAAUACGUUAGCAUGGAAUAAUAAGAUAGGACCUCGGUUCUAUUUUGUUGGUUUCUAGAGCUGAGGUAAUGAUUAAUAGGGAUAGUUGGGGGCAUUCGUAUUUAACUGUCAGAGGUGAAAUUCUUGGAUUUGUUAAAGAC